CCCGUCACAUCACGAAAGUGGAUUGUACUAGAAGUCCUGUGCGCUAACCCGCAAGGGAGGCAGCGGCCCAAGGUAUGAUUCAUGAUUGGGGUG
rnacentral:rRNA from 1 species